rnacentral:rRNA from 1 species
UACGGAGGGUGCAAGCGUUGCUCGGAAUUAUUGGGCGUAAAGGGUAGGUAGGUGGUCUCAUUUGUCUGGGGUGAAAGCCUUGAGCUUAACUCAAGCAGUGCCCCAGAAACGGUGAGACUAGAGUCCUGGAGAGGGUCGUGGAAUUCCCGGUGUAGCGGUGAAAUGCGUAGAGAUCGGGAGGAACACCAGAGGCGAAGGCGGCGACCUGGACAGGUACUGACGCUGAGGCACGAAGGUCAGGGGAGCAAACGGG